GACGAACGCUGGCGGCGUGCUUAACACAUGCAAGUCGAACGGAAAGGCCCUGCUUUUGUUGGGUGCUCGAGUGGCGAACGGGUGAGUAACACGUGAGUAACCUGCCCUUGACUUUGGGAUAACUUCAUGAAACUGGGGCUAAUACCGGAUAGGAGCUCCUGCUGCAUGGUGGGGGUUGGAAAGUUUCGGCGGUUGGGGAUGGACUCGCGGCUUAUCAGCUUGUUGGUGGGGUAGUGGCUUACCAAGGCUUUGACGGGUAGCCGGCCUGAGAGGGUGACCGGCCACAUUGGGACUGAGAUACGGCCCAGACUCCUACGGGAGGCAGCAGUGGGGAAUAUAGCACAAUGGGCGGAAGCCUGAUGCAGCAACGCCGCGUGCGGGAUGACGGCCUUAGGGUUGUAAACCGCUUUCGCCUGUGACGAAGCGUGAGUGACGGUAAUGGGUAAAGAAGCAACGGCUAACUACGUG
rnacentral:rRNA from 1 species